GACGAACGCUGGCGGCGUGCUUAACACAUGCAAGUCGAACGGAAAGGCCCUGCUUGCAGGGUGCUCGAGUGGCGAACGGGUGAGUAACACGUGGGUGAUCUGCCCCUUACUUUGGGAUAAGCCUGGGAAACUGGGCCUAAUACUGGAUAGGACCAUGCUGUAGGUGGUGUGGUGGAAAGAUUAGUUUCGGUAAGGGAUGAGCUCGCGGCCUAUCAGCUUGUUGGUGGGGUAAUGGCCUACCAAGGCGUCGACGGGUAGCCGGCCUGAGAGGGUGGACGGCCACAUUGGGACUGAGAUACGGCCCAGACUCCUACGGGAGGCAGCAGUGGGGAAUAUUGCACAAUGGGCGCAAGCCUGAUGCAGCGACGCCGCGUGGGGGAUGACGGCCUUCGGGUUGUAAACUCCUUUCAGCCAUGACGAAGCCCUUGUGGUGACGGUAGUGGUAGAAGAAGCACCGGCUAACUACGUG
rnacentral:rRNA from 1 species